UAGAUUACGCAUAAUAAACAACAUGCUGUGCUUGUAAAUCCAAGUCGCACCAGUUGUGUCACAUCAUGCUGCACCACCCCUAGAAAGUAACUAGGUCAAAUUGAAAAUAUGUUCUCAGCGAUCCGUAAAAUGUUUCCUUUUUUUCCUCUCCAGUUUGACAUAUGGUACAAAGUGAACUGUACUGUGGGCAAGUGAGGUAGUUCUGGUGAGCUUGCCUUGGUCAGCUUGGAUUUUUCAGGCUCCUUCCAGAGUUGCUUGUUAAGAGGGUUGGUGGCCUUUUCCCUUUUUGUUACAAUAGAGGAAAAUACCAUCAGUGCAGUUGACUCCAGUUCAGUAAGUGUGCGAGAGAUGAGAUCCAGAUGUGUCUCCCGCACACCAGGUCUCCAGGCUGUGCUGACGGGCAGGAAUGCUGCCUUGGGCCUUGCCUGUGCAGUUUUUCCCAAACCCUUUAGCACACCAUCACCUCAGCUACCGAGAUAUGAACCUUAAAAUCUCUUCUUUCUCUCUCCCUUCAUCUUCUCCUCUCAGAUCCUUCCUUGUGCAAGUCUAUGGUCAACUGUGUAAAAAGAAAUCUUUUCUGAGUUCACAUUUGUUUUGGUCUUUGCAGCUCUUUGGCAACACAAUGGUUAAGAUAGAACAGGUUAAAUUAAGCAUGGAAAGUUAUUCAGAAGUUACAAGUCUCGUGUUUAAGACAAUCCUAAGACUUGAUGGGUUAUUGUAAAUCAUUUUCUCAAGCUGUGUGGAGGUUAGAAGUGGUGGUUGAGAACAGGCUUAACCAUAAAACUACAGCUAAAACGUUCACAGGUGCACAAGAACGAACAGCUGGAGGAACUCAGUGGGUCAAGCAGCAUUUGUGGAGGAAGAGGAAUGGUCGACGUUUCAAGUUCUACAUCAGGAAUGAGAGGGUAAAGACAAGAAGGCCAGAGGUAGCCACAAAGCAAGAAACCUGAAAGAAACCAAUUAAAGAGAAAAAAUAAAAGACUAACACUGGGUGCGCAAGAGAAAGAAAAGAUAUGCAAAUCAUGCAAACAUUUGAAGUGAACAACAACAUUUCAAACCAGACAGAGUCCUUGAGUCUGCAGCACGGACAUUCUGGUACAACCUUCUGGAUGAUACGUGCAGUUGUGAGCAGACCUGAACACAGUGCAUCCCUGCAUCUGACGCUGUGGCGGAGGUAAAGUCAUAAAUAAAGCAGCUUGAAGAUGAUUGGCCCCAAGGGAUUGCUCUGAUCCUGGAGCUAAGAUGUUCUAGGGUUGAGUGAAGAGCCAGUGAAGUGGCAUCUGCUGUUGACCUGUUGUGACAGUAGGCAAAUUGGAGUGGAUCCAAAUUGUUCCUCAGCCCCUUCACAAAUUCCUCCUGAAGUGAUACCAGGAGUUGUGCAUUUCCAGAUGGUUUCUUGAUGCCUGAGGGGGGCCAUGCAGAGGAAACAAAGGGAAACAACAUUGGACAACAUGAACCCAACUUGGAGGUGCUGUUGAGCAGUAGUGGAAAAGGAGUAACCAGGAGUUUGGAGAGGGGAGAUCUAUGCAGGAAUGAAGAGACAGAAAUCAGUAAAGUAGAUUGGAUGAGGCCUCAGAACAAAUUGAAAAUAAAGGCUGAGUUACUCACCAGCUUCCAGCAGGCUUCAAUCGUACUGGUGCCGGAGAAGGAUAUGAUGACCUUCCUCGGUGACUUUUCCAGCAGCACUUACAUCCUCUGUGAUGAAGAGCUUUGAGAGGCUGGACAUGAAGUACAUCAGCCCCUGCCUGCAGAGUGACUGGGAUCCACUCGUCAGGCUGCAAUCAACGUGAAAGGUUGUUCGUUGGUGGCGCCACGUGAGGUUUGAAAAGAGGCCUAUUGCUUUUGGUGGGCUGAAAUCAGCACAAAAGGUCAUUCGUCGGUGACACAGCGUGACGUUUAAAAAGAGAUCCAGUAUUUUUGGCUCUUUUUGACGGGCCUCAAGCAGCAUGGGGUCGAUAAAAAGAAGGGAGAGCAGCAUUUGUGGGAGCGGCCAUGCUGGAGUGGUCCAGUGUUAGAGAGGUCAAGCUUUGGCUCAACAAGCUUGAACGAGAACAGGCUUGGACAAGCACAGAAGCAGGCUGUAUUUUUUUUACUGUUAAUAGAUACUGUAGCUAGUGUGCUGAGAACGGGUUUGGAGGUAGUGCCCUGAGAGAUGUAGAAACUCUGCGAGACCUCCAGUUUCCCUGAUAAUUACAUCUACCUGAAGUGCACUGAGUUCCAGCUCCUUAGAAACUCUGUUAAUGAACUGGAGCUGCAGCUGUGUGGACUUUGACAUAUGAGAAUCGAGGAGCUGAUAGUUAAGAGCUACAGGGAGGUGGUCAACCCUGCAAGUUGCAGUAGGCUGGUACUGAGGUGACCAUCUGGAGAGGGAAAGGGAAUAGGCAGACGGUGCAGAGUACUCCACUGGCUAUUCCUCUCAAUAAUAAGUAUUCCGCUUCGGAUACUGUUGGGGGCGGGGGAACAACCUGCCAGAGGGAAACCACAGCAACCAGGUCUCUGGCAUUGAGUCUGGCUCUCUGGCUCAGAAGGGAAUGGGGGAGAAGUGGGGUGCAGUAGUGAUAGGGAAUUCCAUAAUUCGAAGAGCAGAAAGCAGACUCUGUGGAUGUGAAAGAGAGCCAGGUGCCAGGGUCAGAGAUGUUUCAGAUCAGGUUCAUGGCAUUCUUAAGGGAGAGGGUGAACAGACUGAAAUCGUUGGUACCAACGGCGUAGACAGAAAAUGGGAGGUGGUCCUGAUGAGAGAAUUUAGGGAGUUAAGAUGAUGAGGCAUUGAUCAUGUGGAUAGUCAGAGGCUUUUUCUGAGGGCUGAAAUGACUAGCAUGAGAGGGCAUAGUUUUAAGGUGCUUGGAAGUAGGUACAGAGGAGAUAUCAGGGGUAAGUUUUUUUUACUCAGAGAGUGGUGAGUGCAUGGAAUGGGCUGCCAGCAAUGGAGAUGGAGGUGGAUAUGAUAGGGUAUUUUAAGAGACUCCUGAACAGGUAUAUGGAGCUCAGAAAAAUAGGGGGCUAUGGGUAACUCUAGGUAAUUUCUCAGGUAAGGACAUAUUCGGCACAGCUUUGUGGGCUGAAGGGCCUGUAUUGUGCUGUAGGCUUUCUAUGUUUCUAAGCAGAAAGCUGAAAAACAGGACUUCCGGCGUAGUAAUUCAGCAUUUCUACCUGUGCCAGUGAGGGCAAGAAUAGGAUGAUUUGGUGGAUGAAGAAUUUGUGUAGGGAGCAGGGUUUUAGAUUUCUGAAUCAUUGGGAUCUCUACUGGAGAAGAUAUGACUGAAACAAAAAGGACAAGUUACACCUGAAUCCAAGAAGGACCAAUAUCCUUGUGGGCAGAUUUGCUAGAGCUGUGGGGGGAGGGUUUAAAUUUGGCUGGGGGGAUGGGAACCAGAGUGAUAAGGCUGAGGAUGGUGCAGUUGGUAUACAAGUAGAUGCAGUGAGAUUGUGAGGAAGGACAGGCAGAUGAUAGGGCCAAAGUGCAGUCAGUGGGAUGAGUUAUAGUAUAACAGGGGCCAAAAUCAAAAAGAAUGAUGAAUACAGGACUGAUGGUGUUCUAUUCGAAUGACCUUGUAGUGCAUCAGAGAUUGGCAGGUAUGUGGGCUGCAAAUUACAACAGAAGAUAGAAACGGCAUGUAAAAAAGACAACGUUGCAAUCAUUAUGGGGGAUUUCAGUAUGCAGGUAGAUUGGGAAAGUCAGGGUAGUACUGGCUCCCAAGAGAGGGAAUUUGUUGAAUGUCUACAAGAUGACUUUCAAGAGCAGCUUGUGGUUGCGCCCACUAGAGAAACAGGUGAUUAAAGACUCAGAUUUGAAUAGGGAAAGGUAAAGGAACCCUUAGGAGCAUGUGAUCAUAAUAUGAUAGAAUUCACCCUACAGUUUGAGAAGGAAAUGCUAAAGUCAGAUGUAUCCAUUUUACAGUGGAGUAAAGGGAAUUACAGAGGCAUGAGAGAGGAGCUGGCCAAAGUUAAGUGGAAGGGGACACUCACGGGGAUAGCGGCAGAAUAGCAAUGGCAGAUGUUUCUGGGGGAAAUUUGGAAGGCACGGGAUAGAUACGUUACAAAGAUGAAGAAAUGUUCUAAAGGGAGGAUGAGGAAACAGUAGCAGAAAAGGGAGGACAAAGGCAGUAUAAAAGCAAAAGAGAGGGCAUAGCAAAUAAUAUUGCAAAAAUGAUUCGGAAGUUAGAAGAUUGGGAAGAUUUUAAAAACCAACAGAAAAGUCAUAAUUAGAAAAAAAAGAUAAAAUAUGAAGGUAAGCUAGCCAAUAAUAUAAAAGAAGGUGCAAAAAGAUUUUUUGGAUAUGGUAUAUAAAAAGUAAAAGAGGGACGAGAGUGGAUACCAGACUGUUAUGCUGGAGAGGUAGUGUGGGGGGGGGGGCAAGAAAUGACAAGGAAACAUCUUCACAAUGGAAAACAUGAGCAAAAUGCCAGAAAUGCAAGCAUCUGGGAGCAGAAGUGAGUGUCAUUGCUAUUACUAAGGAGUAGGUGCUUGGGAAGUUGAGAAGUCUGAAGCUGAAGACUACAAAAAGAUGAAGAGACUAUGGAGGCAUUAGUAAUGAUCUUUGAAGAAUCACCAGAUUCUGAAAUGGUGCCUGAGGACUGGAAUAUUGCAAAAGUCACACCACUGUUCAAGAAGGGAAGGAGGCAGAAAUUAUAGGCCAGUUAGCCCGACUUCAGUGGUUGGAGAGAUGUUGGAGUCCAUCACUAAGGAUGAGGUUUCAGAGCACUUGGAAGUAAAUGACAAAAUAAGCAAAAGUCAGCAUGGUUUUCUCAAGAGGAAAUCUUGCCUGACAAAUCUGUUGGAAUUCUUUGUGGAAAUAACAGGCAGAGUAGAUAAAUGAGGGUGCAUAGUAGAUGUUGUUUAUUUGGAUGUUCAGAAGGCCUUUGACAAGGUGCUGCACAUGUGUCUGCUUAACAAGGUAAGAGCCUGUGGCGUUACGGGAAAUGUGCCAGUGGAUAGAAAUUGACUGACUGGCAGAAGGCAAAGAGUGGGAAUAAAAGGGGCCUUCUCUGGUUGGCUGCAGUGACGACUGGUUAGCCACAGAAGUCAGUGUUGAGACCACUUCUUUUGACAUUGUAUGUCAAUGAUUUGCAUGAAGGAAUUGAUAACUUUGUGGUCAAGCUUGAAGACAUUAUGAAGAUAGGUGGAGGGGCAGGUAGUAUUGAGGGUGUCUGCAGAAGUCAGACCGAUUGGGGGGAAUAGGUAAAGAAGUGACAGAUGGAAUAUAGUGUAGGGAAAUGCAUAAUCAUGCACUUUGGCAGAAAGAAGAAAGGUAUGGAUUUUUUUUCUAAAUGGGGAGAAAAUUCAAGAAUCAGAAGUGCAGAGGGACUUGGGAGACCUUGUGCAGGAUUCCUUAAAGGUUAACUUGCAGGUUGAAUCAGUAGUAAGGAAGGCAAAUACAAUGUUAGCUUUCAUUUUGAGAGGACUAGAAUACAAAUGCAGGGAUGUGAAGCUAAGAUUUAUAAGGCAUUAGUCAGACUGCACAGAGUACUGUGAGCAGUUUUACACCCCUUAUCUAAAAUAAAGAUGAGCUGGCAUUGGAGGUGUUUCAGAUGAGGAUCAUGGGAAUGAUCCUAAGAAUGAAAGGGUUAACAUAUGAGGAGCUUUUGAUGGCUCUGGACCUAUACUUACUGGAGUUUAGAAAAAUGAGGGGACCUCAUUGAAACUGAUUGAAUAUUGAAAGGGAUGUGGAGAUCAAGUUUUCUAUAGUUGGGCAGCCUAGCGCCAGAGGGCACAGUCUCAGAAUUGAAGGACGCCUAUUUAGAACAGAGAUGAGGAAAAUUUUCUUUAACCAGAGGGUGGUGAAUCUGUGGAAUUAAUUGCCGCAGACAGCUGUGCAGGUCAGUUCAUUUGGGCACAUUUGAGACAGAGGUUGAUAGGUUCUUGAUUAAUCAGGGUGUCAAAGGUUAUGGGGAGUAGGCACGAGAAUUAGGUUGAACGGGAGCCAUGAUGGAAGCCAUGAUGCCAGAGGAGACUCAAUGGGCCAAAAGCCUAGUUCUGCUCCUAUAUCUUAUGGUUACUCUAACUUGACUACAGUCACAACAGGUCAACAGCAGAUGUUAUUUCAUUGGUUCUUUGCUGCGCUCUGGAACAACUGGACAGUGAAGAUGCUUACAGCAUUAACUACAGCUCAGCAUUCAACACUAUCCUCCCCUUCAAAACCGUUGUGCAUUUAAUACUUCAAAAGUGUUUAAGUAAUAUUGUAAAUGUUUGAUUCAGCAAUCUUGUUCAUUUAAAUAAGUCAUUACGGGUUAUAUGUUGUUACAAGGAUGACCCCUUGGUGGUAAUGAUCAAUUAGGCAGAGAGAGAAUCUCUAUUUACUGACUACUACCUUUAUUGUCUUAACUAAAAAGCACAUGAAUUUACUCAACUACGUGCUCACCAAGUUUCCCUGUCCCUCCAUGAACAGUCAAAGAAUAGAAAAGGUUAUACCGAGGAAAGGAGUCUACGCUGCAACGUAGGGUCCUCCACACCCACGAUGGUUGGUCUCCAGAGAGUUGUCACUGUCUUGCAUUUGAAGCCUUUCAUUUUCAUACACUUUCCUUACCAGUUCAUAUAUUGUAUUUCAAUCUCAUUGGUUCAAGGUCAUCUGAUUAAGCUGUGUCACCUACUUAUUGGCUCUGCUCCAAGCCAGCAUAUGUAUAUUGCCCCCUUCCACGAGUGACAACUGGUAAUUUAUGACCUUUUGUUCCAAAUCAGUUACCAAACCAGUAACCAGCUUGAGUCACUCAGGGCAGACACAGACCACACCAUUCACAAACCUGCAUCUUAUAUCCUACCAAAGAACACCUCACAAAUAACUUCUUAUUUGGAAAUUAUCUCUAGUCCAGCAGAUUACCUGGAGCAUCAUUGUGUCUACUCUAAAACACUCAUUCAGUCAAGCAAAACCAGUUCACAAAAUGGAGGAUACAGAGUAGCUUCAUGAAAUGGGAGCCUCUAUUCCUUCGAUCUCAUGGCAAGAACACAGACAGUUGGUUUGUCUACUGCCACUGUCCUUGAUUCAUUCAAACUCACUGAUUUGUAGACUCAAAGUAAUUUAAAGUUAACUUCUGAUCCCCUAAAGAGGACUUGGCUCAUGGAUCCCUAGCUCCUUCCCCCAGCAGUCAAUACUCAGGACUUCAGUUUUGCUGACACUGAGUAAGUUGUUGUUGUGGCAGCAAUCAGCCAGAUUUGAAUGUACUUUGAUAAUAAAUUUACUUUGAGCUUUGAAUCCUCCUGGAUAUCGUCUCUACGUUCUGCCAAAUGAGUUAGUAGCGGAUGGCAAUAAGCACAGGAGAGGAGAGUUCAUGUCACGUCUCAAUGCAAGAGGAUUUCCUGAGGAGAAUUGUUUUUAUUGCCAAUGGAAAUUUGAUUCUGCCAGUUUAACUUUUGGCAGUGUAAUCCACCUCUGCACAAAAGAGAGGAAUAUUUAGGUCAGGCUGACCUGAACUAGAAGUGAUUCCUUCCAGACUGACAGUGUGAUGGGGUGAAUUGACGUGUUGAGGAAUGUUAACUUACUUACAUAUGGAGGCAGAUGUGGCCACUGAGGAGCAAAAGGAUUUCAUGGAUAUAAAACAAUUAAAUAUUGUGUAAUGACUAAUGGGAUGACUUGUUCAUUCAAUUUAAAGGAAAUUUACAAAUUUUAAUUCAGUUUUGCUUUUUAAAAAAUUGUAGGAGAGCUGUUGUCCUUGCCUUGUUGGGGACUAUGUGCAAUCCUAGGCUCUCUGACUUUAAUCAUCCACUCAGUUGUCCAAUUUGCUUUCUGGAAAAACCCACCACCGCCUUCUCAAAGCAACGAGGGGGGGCCAAUAAAUGCUGAUCUUGCCUGUGGCAUUGAUUGGUUUUCCACAUCUCAGUAACUCCUCCAGCCACUCCAGUAUUUUCAUCAUCCUCGUUCACGUUCCCCAACCACUAUCAGCCUUGCCGAAAAACACAAAGACUCGAUCUCUGGAGCUCUCCAACUCUGCUCCUUUAAGAGCUGUGAUCAAGU